rnacentral:rRNA from 1 species
AGUUUGAUCCUGCUUCAGAUUGAAACGCUGGCGGCAGGCCUAACACAUGCAAGUCGAACGGUAACAGGAAGAAGCUUGCUUCUUUGCUGACGAGUGGCGGACGGGUGAGUAAUGUCUGGGAAACUGCCUGAUGGAGGGGGAUAACUACUGGAAACGGUAGCUAAUACCGCAUAACGUCGCAAGACCAAAGAGGGGGACCUUCGGGCCUCUUGCCAUCGGAUGUGCCCAGAUGGGAUUAGCUUGUUGGUGGGGUAACGGCUCACCAAGGCGACGAUCCCUAGCUGGUCUGAGAGGAUGACCAGCCACACUGGAACUGAGACACGGUCCAGACUCCUACGGGAGGCAGCAGUGGGGAAUAUUGCACAAUGGGCGCAAGCCUGAUGCAGCCAUGCCGCGUGUAUGAAGAAGGCCUUCGGGUUGUAAAGUACUUUCAGCGGGGAGGAAGGGAGUAAAGUUAAUACCUUUGCUCAUUGACGUUACCCGCAGAAGAAGCACCGGCUAACUCCGUGCCAGCAGCCGCGGUAAUACGGAGGGUGCAAGCGUUAAUCGGAAUUACUGGGCGUAAAGCGCACGCAGGCGGUUUGUUAAGUCAGAUGUGAAAUCCCCGGGCUCAACCUGGGAACUGCAUCUGAUACUGGCAAGCUUGAGUCUCGUAGAGGGGGGUAGAAUUCCAGGUGUAGCGGUGAAAUGCGUAGAGAUCUGGAGGAAUACCGGUGGCGAAGGCGGCCCCCUGGACGAAGACUGACGCUCAGGUGCGAAAGCGUGGGGAGCAAACAGGAUUAGAUACCCUGGUAGUCCACGCCGUAAACGAUGUCGACUUGGAGGUUGUGCCCUUGAGGCGUGGCUUCCGGAGCUAACGCGUUAAGUCGACCGCCUGGGGAGUACGGCCGCAAGGUUAAAACUCAAAUGAAUUGACGGGGGCCUGCACAAGCGGUGGAGCAUGUGGUUUAAUUCGAUGCAACGCGAAGAACCUUACCUGGUCUUGACAUCCACGGAAGUUUUCAGAGAUGAGAAUGUGCCUUCGGGAACCGUGAGACAGGUGCUGCAUGGCUGUCGUCAGCUCGUGUUGUGAAAUGUUGGGUUAAGUCCCGCAACGAGCGCAACCCUUAUCCUUUGUUGCCAGCGGUCCGGCCGGGAACUCAAAGGAGACUGCCAGUGAUAAACUGGAGGAAGGUGGGGAUGACGUCAAGUCAUCAUGGCCCUUACGACCAGGGCUACACACGUGCUACAAUGGCGCAUACAAAGAGAAGCGACCUCGCGAGAGCAAGCGGACCUCAUAAAGUGCGUCGUAGUCCGGAUUGGAGUCUGCAACUCGACUCCAUGAAGUCGGAAUCGCUAGUAAUCGUGGAUCAGAAUGCCACGGUGAAUACGUUCCCGGGCCUUGUACACACCGCCCGUCACACCAUGGGAGUGGGUUGCAAAAGAAGUAGGUAGCUUAACCUUCGGGAGGGCGCUUACCACUUUGUGAUUCAUGACUGGGGUGAAGUC